rnacentral:tRNA from 1 species
GCUGGGGUGGUGAAAUUGGCAGACACGCUAGCUUUAGGAGCUAGUGCUCGCAAGAGCGUGGGAGUUCAAAUCUCCCUCCCAGCA